rnacentral:lncRNA from 1 species
AGCAAACACGCCAUAGCAGUCCGGAACUGGGAAGAAGCAGGGUGCGGUGAACGCCCGGUUCCUCGUGCCGGAUGAGGAGGAACUUGGCUUUGUGUUUCCCAUGCAGGAUGUCGCAAGAGGACACGGAGCCCUGAACCCACAACCGGGGGGAGGAAGCCGCCCCGAGCAGAGGCACGGCCACGAGGGACGGUACCGCGGUGGCAUCGGAACGGCGGCUCCGAGCAGACUCCCUACAAUGAAGAUCAACAGCUUCAAGAGAAGUUCUUGUGACUGGGCAGGACACAACAGUCUCCUGACAUCAACGUGCAGUAAGCAACCAAUGCUGAUGCAAAUCCCAUCUGCUGUAAUCAUGACAUCACCCCUAAUUAUAUAAUGAAUGAGGAUCUCACCACCUGCAGAGUCCUGACGUCACCAGCAGAGCUGGAGAAAGGUCCAGAGCAGGAUGAUCAAACAGUGAGUCCGUAGGAGGAGGACCUCAGCCUGGAAACCAAGCAGCUAGAGAGGCACAUCUGG